AUUGAACGCUGGCGGAAUGCUUUACACAUGCAAGUCGAACGGCAGCACGGGGGCAACCCUGGUGGCGAGUGGCGAACGGGUGAGUAAUACAUCGGAACGUGCCCAGUCGUGGGGGAUAACGUAGCGAAAGUUACGCUAAUACCGCAUACGAUCUACGGAUGAAAGCGGGGGACCGUGAGGCCUCGCGCGAUUGGAGCGGCCGAUGGCAGAUUAGGUAGUUGGUGAGGGAAAGGCCCACCAAGCCGACGAUCUGUAGCUGGGCUGAGAGGACGACCAGCCACACUGGGACUGAGACACGGCCCAGACUCCUACGGGAGGCAGCAGUGGGGAAUUUUGGACAAUGGGCGCAAGCCUGAUCCAGCCAUUCCGCGUGCAGGACGAAGGCCUUCGGGUUGUAAAGCUCUUUCGGCAGGGAAGAAACGCUCUGGGAUAAUACUCCGGGGUAAUGACGGUACCUGAAGAAGAAGCACCGGCUAACUACGUGCCAGCAGCCGCCGUAA
rnacentral:rRNA from 1 species